UGGUUGACCUCGGAUCAGGUAGGGAUACCCGCUGAACUUAAGCAUAUCAAUAAGCGGAGGAAAAGAAACCAACAGGGAUUGCCUCAGUAACGGCGAGUGAAGCGGCAAAAGCUCAAAUUUGAAAUCUGGCUCUUUCAGGGUCCGAGUUGUAAUUUGUAGAAGAUGCUUCGGGUGUGGUCCCGGUCUAAGUUCCUUGGAACAGGACGUCAUAGAGGGUGAGAAUCCCGUAUGUGACUGGGUACCUACGCUCAUGUGAAGCUCUUUCGACGAGUCGAGUUGUUUGGGAAUGCAGCUCAAAAUGGGUGGUAAAUUUCAUCUAAAGCUAAAUAUUGGCCAGAGACCGAUAGCGCACAAGUAGAGUGAUCGAAAGAUGAAAAGCACUUUGGAAAGAGAGUUAAACAGUACGUGAAAUUGUUGAAAGGGAAGCGCUUGCAAUCAGACUUGCGCCUAGUUGAUCAUCCGGGCUUCUGCCCGGUGCACUCGAUUAGGCUCAGGCCAGCAUCGGUUUGGGUGGUUGGAUAAAGGCUUGGGGAACGUAGCCUCCUUCGGGGGGUGUUAUAGCCCCAGGUGCAAUGCAGCCUACCUGGACCGAGGACCGCGCUUCGGCUAGGAUGCUGGCGUAAUGGUUGUAAGUGACCCGUCUUGAAACACGGACCAAGGAGUCUAACAUUUAUGCGAGUGUUUGGGUGUUAAACCCAUACGCGUAAUGAAAGUGAACGGAGGUAAGAACCCUUAAGGGUGCAUUAUCGACCGAUCCUGAUGUCUUCGGAUGGAUUUGAGUAAGAGCAUAACUGUUGGGACCCGAAAGAUGGUGAUCUAUACGUGAAUAGGGGUGAAGCCAGAGGAAACUCUGGUGGAGGCUCCCAGCGGUUCUGACGUGCAAAUCGAUCGUCAAAUUUGCGUAUAGGGGCGAAAGACUAAUCGAACCAUCUAGUAGCUGGUUUCCUGCCCAAA
rnacentral:rRNA from 1 species